UAGGGAAUCUUCGGCAAUGGACGAAAGUCUGACCGAGCAACGCCGCGUGUGUGAAGAAGGUUUUCGGAUCGUAAAACUCUGUUGUUAGAGAAGAACAAGGACGUUAGUAACUGAACGUCCCCUGACGGUAUCUAACCAGAAAGCCACGGCUAACUACGUGCCAGCAGCCGCGUUAAUACGUAGGUGGCAAGCGUUGUCCGGAUUUAUUUGGCGUAAAGCGAGCGCAGGCGGUUUCUUAAGUCGGAUGUGAAAGCCCCCGGCUCAACCGGGGAGGGUCAUUGGAAACUGGGAGACUUGAGGGCAGAAGAGGAGAGUGGAAUUCCAUGUGUAGCGGAGAAAUGCGUAGAUAUAUGGAGGAACACCAGUGGCGAAGGCGGCUCUCUGGUCUGUAACGGACGCUGAGGCUAGAAAGCGUGGGGAGCAAACAGG
rnacentral:rRNA from 1 species